UACGAAGGGGGCUAGCGUUGUUCGGAAUUACUGGGCGUAAAGGGCGCGUAGGCGGUCCUGAUCGUCGGAUGUGAAAGGCCUGGGCUCAACCUGGGAACUGCAUCCGAUACGGCGGGACUGGAGUGUGGGAGAGGUUGGUGGAAUUCCCAGUGUAGAGGUGAAAUUCGUAGAUAUUGGGAAGAACACCGGUGGCGAAGGCAGGUCUCUGGGCAUUAACUGACGCUGAGGAGCGAAAGCAUGGGGAGCGAACAGG
rnacentral:rRNA from 1 species